GACGAACGCUGGCGGCGUGCCUAAUACAUGCAAGUCGAACGAGAGCGACCGGUGCUUGCACUGGUCAAUCUAGUGGCGAACGGGUGAGUAACACGUGGGUAACCUGCCCAUCAGAGGGGGAUAACAUCCGGAAACGGAUGCUAAAACCGCAUAGGUCUUCGAGCCGCAUGGCUUGAAGAGGAAAAGAGGCGCAAGCUUCUGCUGAUGGAUGGACCCGCGGUGCAUUAGCUAGUUGGUGAGGUAACGGCUCACCAAGGCCGUGAUGCAUAGCCGACCUGAGAGGGUGAUCGGCCACAUUGGGACUGAGACACGGCCCAAACUCCUACGGGAGGCAGCAGUAGGGAAUCUUCCGCAAUGGACGCAAGUCUGACGGGGCAACGCGGCGUGAGUGAAGAAGGUUUUCGGAUCGUAAAACUCUGUUGUUAGAGAAGAACAAGUGCUAGAGUAACUGUUAGCGCCUUGACGGUAUCUAACCAGAAAGCCACGGCUAACUACGUG
rnacentral:rRNA from 1 species